rnacentral:rRNA from 1 species
GAAAAGUUAGCGGUUAAUAACCGUUAGCCUUGACGUUAACUUUAGAAGAAGCACCGGCUAACUCCGUGCCAGCAGCCGCGGUAAUACGGAGGGUGCAAGCGUUAAUCGGAAUUACUGGGCGUAAAGCGUGCGUAGGCGGUUUAUUAAGUCAGAUGUGAAAGCCCCGGGCUUAACCUGGGAACUGCAUUUGAAACUGGUCAACUAGAGUAUGGUAGAGGAAAGUGGAAUUUCUGGUGUAGCGGUGAAAUGCGUAGAUAUCAGAAGGAACAUCAAUGGCGAAGGCAGCUUUCUGGACCAAUACUGACGCUGAGGUACGAAAGCGUGGGUAGCAAACAGGAUUAGAUACCCUGGUAGUCCACGCCGUAAACGAUGAUAACUAGCCGUUGGGGGGAUUUACCCUUUAGUGGCGAAGCUAACGCGUUAAGUUAUCCGCCUGGGGAGUACGGCC